UGGGGAAUUUUGGACAAUGGGCGAAAGCCUGAUCCAGCAAUGCCGCGUGUGUGAAGAAGGCCUUCGGGUUGUAAAGCACUUUUUGUCCGGAAAGAAAUCCUUGGCUCUAAUACAGUCGGGGGAUGACGGUACCGGAAGAAUAAGCACCGGCUAACUACGUGCCAGCAGCCGCGGUAAUACGUAGGGUGCAAGCGUUAAUCGGAAUUACUGGGCGUAAAGCGUGCGCAGGCGGUUUGCUAAGACCGAUGUGAAAUCCCCGGGCUCAACCUGGGAACUGCAUUGGUGACUGGCAGGCUAGAGUAUGGCAGAGGGGGGUAGAAUUCCACGUGUAGCAGUGAAAUGCGUAGAGAUGUGGAGGAAUACCGAUGGCGAAGGCAGCCCCCUGGGCCAAUACUG
rnacentral:rRNA from 1 species